rnacentral:rRNA from 1 species
UUGGAGGGCAAGUCUGGUGCCAGCAGCCGCGGUAAUUCCAGCUCCAAUAGCGUAUAUUAAAGUUGUUGCAGUUAAAAAGCUCGUAGUUGAAUUUCGGGAUCAAUAUGUUGGUCGUGCCUUGGUACGUACUAGUUUAUUGGUUUCUUCCUUCUGACGAACCAUGAUGUCAUUAAUUUGGUGUCUUGGGGAACCAGGACUGUUACUUUGAAAAAAUUAGAGUGUUUAAAGCAGGCUCACGCUUGAAUACAUUAGCAUGGAAUAAUGAAAUAGGACGUUUGAUUCUAUUUUGUUGGUUUCUAGGAUCGACGUAAUGAUUAAUAGGGAUAGUUGGGGGCAUUAGUAUUCAAUUGUCAGAGGUGAAAUUCUUGGAUUUAUUGAAGACUAACUACUGCGAAAGCAUUUGCCAAGGAUGUUUUCAUUAAUCAAGAACGAAAGUUAGGGGAUCGAAGACGAUCAGAUACCGUCGUAGUCUUAACCAUAAACUAUGCCGACUAGGGAUCGGAUGAUGUUAAUUUUUUAAUGACUCAUUCGGCGCCUUACGGGAAAC